ACAACAAUAUAUUUCUGUAUUUAAUCCUUGGUAGCUGGUUAGAUUAACAAUGCUUGUCCCACUUACAAGUAGUCCUCCACAGAGACCACUAUGGGCUCCCCCUCUGUCAGUGACCUUAAUGUCUGUCGGGAGUCUGUCUGUUACUCUGUCCUCUUCUGCCUGGUCAUUAGACACAGAGCCCCCAUCUACACCAAACCUCCUCUGACAGAUACACAGGGUGGGCUUUUGUUUGAAAGCACAAAAGGCAGAGCAGGAGUGGAGAAAAAAACCUAAGAGUCAAUUAGGUGAUUAUUAAUUCAUGCCCCUUUUCCGUAAACCAGAGGCUUUUGUGCUGUUGAGUCCCGUAAGUGAAUUGGACUUUGGCACCUUGUCUCACCUCCCAUAGCUGGACUGUAUUAUUCAAGCAGCAAAGGGGCUGUCAGCACACUGCACCAGUCUCUGGAGCAAUCACAGCCCUGUUGUGCUUUUAAGGUUGAAAAAAGAUGACUGCUGGACAGAGUGACUGACACAGCACAGUCUGAAUUAACCACAACAGGUCAUCUGCCAUUGAAAUUUUCCAGGAUUGCAAUCACAGCUGUCAUUAAUAUGCUUUGUCCUUGGGAGAGGUUAUCCAUAUUCUAAAAUGUGAGUUACAGUAAACAAUAUGUAAGGAAGUGGAAGAUGGAAAAAAGAUUCCUGGUAUUUUGGACGGGAAUUCCCCUCCUACUGACUGACAUGGGGUCCUCAUCAUCUCCGGAGCCUCUGCCCCCUCAUUACCACAGUUCCUGUCUUGCCGUGGCAGCUUCAGGCCUCCGGUUGUAAAAAACAUAACCUAUCAUCCAGUCCGUCCACGCCAGUGAGGCUGCAUAACUUUACUGUCACUUUGCCCGGAAAAGCCACAGUCUGCCAAUCACUUUAAACUUAAGUUCAGCCCACGGUUCCUCUGCAUAGUGAAAUUCAAGGAUCCUCAGUGGUACACUUUCUAAAAGUGUGUCCUCUGAUCCCCAUUUGCCUAAAACCUUUCACCUUCACACUGUAGAGGGCUUCUGAUGGUCAUCUGACUGCUAGGGUAUUCCCUCUGCAAGUUUGCCAUUAAUAUGGAGAUGAUUCAACUCCCCCAGUGCUACAAGUCAUUCUCUUUUAAUGCUAUGCUAACAAUACCUGAAUAUUGUCUUUUCCUUUUCCCAUUUCUAUCCAGGUUUUUAAUCUACAGUGUAUGUCAGAGCCCGGAGCAAUAAAGGGCAGUAUUCCAUUUCACCUUACAUUUCUCAGGUUCUGUCUGAUCUCCAUGGGUUUUACUGGUCUCAGAAUAUGGAUGACCCAGGCUCCAAAAAUAUUUUUUACCCCCCUUGCUCCAGCUCCCAUAAAUUGAAUUCGCCACCCUGCCUUUCUCCUUGCUGCAUCCCCAUACAUUCAGCUGCUGCAUAAAUACACCACCUGCUUUAAUGGAGCUACAUGACAACGAUGAGAAGAAAUACUUCAGUAGUUCUAAUGAUGGACCUUAGAAACAGCUCAGCCUCAGACAGUAGGAGACUGAACACCUUUCAGAUAAAUAACAGGCACUGCAGACCAGUACAGUGGACUGUCUGAAAAAGAUCUCUGCCUGUCGAUUUAUCGAAUGCACCAUUUGCAUAUCUUUGUAGUGCAUCCAUCUGCCUGUGGACUGUUCUGUGGAGGUAUUAGCUCAGAAAAUCAAUGUUGCCAUGGUUGGAUGUAUGUAGUGCCUACUUCGGCGCGUGUUAGGAGUCCGGCUCACAGCUCCCACAUGGGUCCUAUUUACAUGAGUCCUGCCAGCAGAGGCUUUCCUGCCGGUCCUUCCAUCUUUGUAAACUUAAAGUACACAAACACAUUUCUCAGCAUGCCCCUCCAGGGUGGGCUGGUUCGCCAUCCUACUCAAUGGUCAUCCAGCCUCCCUGUCUCCAUCUACAGCCCAGAGCCUGACCGGCUGUUUGUUUAUGAAAGCGUAAGCCCAGAUAAAACAGAAUCUGACAUGGUUAUGAAUACAAAUUUUGCUAAUCAAUUUUAUUUAAAAUAUAAAAUAUAGGCUAUCAUUGAAGUGUGUUUGCUCUCAAAAGUUUAAUGGCCUGCUAGGUUCAAAUGUUUCAGGAUAGUUGAGAGGAGAGGUGGAGGAUGGUGUACUGGUGUUUUAUCUUAUUUACUUAUUUUUUUAUAUCAUACAGCUGUACAGAUAUACAUGGAGACAGUGUGUACGGGGACCGUACUAUGGAUAUAUAUUUUUCUAGUAGAGAAUGCAGUGGAUACACUUGGCAACUUUUAUUCUAACAACCACCCCGGCUGGUUGCUCAUAGCUAAUUGCUAAAGAAAUCCAAUGAUUACACUGCACAGGCACUUUAAAACAUCCAUGAGAGUGCUACCACUUAUUGAACAAAAAAAAAAAAAAAAGAACUCUUGCUACCUCUAUCCAUUCAGUUUCUAAUACAAAUCAAACACAGGGAGCUUUCUUUCACCAUUUGUCUUUCUUUCUGUUCCUCUUUGCAUAGCCCAUCCAUUACUUUCACAUGAAAUAUGAAAAGGCAAUAUCCUCUCUGUGUUUGUACUGAAGCGUAAUGCAAUUGUGUUGUCAUUUAUAGGAAAUAAUCGCAAACCUCUCUUUCAUUUUCCAGUUCAAAUAACCAUGAAAAAUUAGCCUUCAAUGUCAGGGAGGACAACAAAGGGAUGCACACAGACUAUUGCUUCACCACCGCGCUUGACAUUUCUCCUUAAUAGGAAAACGGGUGGUUGUUUCUAUCUUUCUUUUUCAAUCUUUUUCUUUUUCUAACCUCGUUUUUUCCCUAAUUAAAAAGUUCUGCACUCAGAUCUUUGUAAAUCUUUUGUGCGUCUUUAUUCAGUGUGGAGCGUCUAUAUCUGAGGAAGGGUUGGAGGGUUAGAAAACUCUGGUCUCAUGCACAUUGCACCCUGCUCAUUAGCACCCCUAGCCCUGUCUGCUGAUGGCUACUGUUGGAGAGAGAUGUCGCCAGACAACCACUACGAGGCCUAGGUCGCCGUGACUACCGUCCAACAGCCUGAUAGAUAAAUAAUUCAAGAGCUAUCAGACUCCC